GCUGGGUGCAGUGGUGCACACCUGUAAUCCCAGCAGCUUGGGAGGCUGAGGCAGGAGGAUUGUGAGUUCAAAGCCAGCCUCAG
rnacentral:sRNA from 1 species